rnacentral:lncRNA from 1 species
UUCAAGGACUUCAAUGCGAACUAUAAGAAACUAAAUUCAUGUCCCAACUGUUAGGAUGAAGGCCGUAUUUACUCUUUAUAAUAGCAUGCCAUAAAGAGUUUCUUUCGAAAGGAAACCUCCACAACCAUUUUCCCAACAAAGCCGAAUUUCUUUUAACCAAAUUCCCAAUACUGAGACCACGUUUCUCCUUAGAUCUAGAAACCACAUCCCAUUUAAUUAGAUGAAUGCCUCUCUCUUCUCCAAAUCGUUCCCAUAAGAAAUCCCUCCUCAAUUUCUCAAUUUCUCAACUCUAAGAGCAACUAUUACUGGAAUUAUGAAAAGGAAGAGAAAAUAAAUACUAGGACUAGAUAAAACAGAAUGAAUUGCAGUGAGUUUUCCCCCUCGGGAAAGAAAAGCUCUCUUCCAACCAUCAAGCGUUUUCCCAACCCUUUCCACUAAAGGAUCCCAAAGGUCAAGGAUCUCGGGUUACCACCAAGAUGUAAACCUGAGUACUUCAACGGCCACUCACCCACUGAACACCCAACUCUGUUUGCUAAAGAGAUUGAUAUAUGCGUGCUUUGCUGUCGAUGCUUCUCAAAAACCUAAGGACUAGCUGAUAUAUAACGUAGGGCGUUAGCUACCGACUUCAACUUGAACCUUCUAUUGGUAUCAUUGGAAUUGUAUUUAGAACAUCUCAUUGGUAAGUAUCUACACAAUCUCUUUUGUUUUGUUGUUAUGUGAGUCAGCUAUUAGUUAUGUAUGAACUAAUGGAAUUUGAUUCAAACCUUUUCUGUCAAUCACUGGAUUGAUCUCUUUUGCCUAAUUAUGGAUUCAUGCAAAUUACAUUGUUGCUUAUGUUGAAGCUAAUUUAAAAAUAAGGUGCUGUUAGCUAUUGUUUAAUAUGUUUGUAUUGCCAUGAGUUGUCUUUCCUUAUUAGCUCUUUUCUUUUCUUUUUUCUUUUUUUUUUUAAGAAACAAAGGAUUGUAUAUUAAACUAUAAGAGAGAUGUACAAGGAUUGAUGGGACUACAAAUCUACAAAAACAAGAAUGAUAAGUUCAAGAGUCUUUCCUUUUAGUUCUUGAUCAGCACUAUAUAACCUUGUGCUAGUUCGUUAGUGCGUAGAAAUCAAUAACAAUGUAUUCUUUUAUUUUUUUCUAUUAGCCUGUAUUGAUUGCUUUUUCUCUAUCUGUAAACAUGGUAACAGAAGGUUUGACCAUAUGGUCUUUUGUUCGACUCCAUUAUAACACUAUUCCAUUCGAUUAAUUAAAUUACCCCUCACACAAAGAGAAGUGGACCGUCAAUGUUUAAGUAAAUCUAGACAAG